CUCUUUAAGAGCGGUGAGUUCAUCACUGGAGACUUCAGUCCUUUCAGAGCCCCUCACAGCACAAUGAUGACCACUCUGAUCCUCCUGCUGACCACACUGGGCUUCUUUCCUCAAGUGUCCCAUCAAGAGGUCCAGACUCCUGAGAGAAGUUCUGUUGAACCAGGACAGUCCGUCACUUUCAGCUGUGUUGCUAGUAGUGGGAUCGGUUAUGCCAUGAGUUGGUACCAGUUGAAACCUGGAGCAGCUCCUAAACUGCUGAUUUAUGAAACAAGUAAUAGAGGUUCUGGAGUUCCAGAGCGAUUCAGUGGAACAUACUCUGGAUACACCUUUACGAUGACCAUCAGUGGAGUCCGGCCUGAAGAUGCAGGAGAAUAUUACUGUAUGGGUGCUUACAGUGGUCCAGUGUUCACACAGUGA